rnacentral:rRNA from 1 species
UACGUAGGGGGCAAGCGUUGUCCGGAAUUAUUGGGCGUAAAGCGCGCGCAGGCGGUCGUUUAAGUCUGAUGUAUAAACCCGAGGCUCAACCUUGGGAGGCAUUGGAAACUGGGCGACUGGAGUGUAGGAGAGGAAAGUGGAAUUCCACGUGUAGCGGUGAAAUGCGUAGAGAUGUGGAGGAACACCAGUGGCGAAGGCGACUUUCUGGCCUAUAACUGACGCUGAGGCGCGAAAGCGUGGGGAGCAAACAGG